rnacentral:tRNA from 1 species
GGGCCCAUCGUUCAGUGGUAGGAUACCUCAUUUGCACUGAGGAGAUACGAGUUCGAUUCUCGUUGGGUCCA